UCAGUUGUUAGAGCGGCUGGCUGCAGAUCAGCAGGUCCCUUGUUCAAAUCCGGGUAUGUC
rnacentral:tRNA from 11 species